AUACCUUGCCCAGGGGCAGGAACCGAACGACCUUGUUUAUCCAUAGCUGUGGAAACAUAACCAACAAUACCAUGUAUAGGGACACCCAUCUCAAUAGCAAGCUUUGCUUGCAUGAUAAUCUGUACACCAGCACCUUGAGACUCCAUAAAUCCAUCACGAGUAGAAGUAGCAGGACGAGACAUUUCUUGAGGAGUACGUCCCCUUUCUGUUUCCUUAGCAGCAUUUGAUGUAGCACCCAUGUUCGCAAACUCGUAUGAACCUUCUUCUGAAAAGUCGUCAUAACCACC